rnacentral:rRNA from 1 species
AACGAACGCUGGCGGCAGGCUUAACACAUGCAAGUCGAACGGGUGUAGCAAUACAUCAGUGGCAGACGGGUGAGUAACACGUGGGAACCUUCCCAGGGGUACGGAACAACUCAGGGAAACUUGAGCUAAUACCGUAUACGUCCGUGAGGAGAAAGAUUUAUCGCCCUUAGACGGGCCCGCGUCGGAUUAGCUAGUUGGUGGGGUAACGGCCUACCAAGGCGACGAUCCGUAGCUGAUCUUAGAGGAUGAUCAGCCACACUGGGACUGAGACACGGCCCAGACUCCUACGGGAGGCAGCAGUGGGGAAUCUUGGACAAUGGGCGCAAGCCUGAUCCAGCCAUGCCGCGUGGGUGAAGAAGGUCUUCGGAUUGUAAAGCUCUUUUGCCAGGGACGAUAAUGACGGUACCUGGAGAAUAAGCCCCGGCAAACUUCGUGCCAGCAGCCGCCGCAG